rnacentral:rRNA from 1 species
CCUACGGGAGGCAGCAGUGAGGAAUAUUGGACAAUGGGCGCAAGCCUGAUCCAGCCAUGCCGCGUGCAGGAAGAAGCAUCUAUGGUGUGUAAACUGCUUUUGUACAGGAAGAAACACUCCCUCGUGAGGGAGCUUGACGGUACUGUAAGAAUAAGGACCGGCUAACUCCGUGCCAGCAGCCGCGGUAAUACGGAGGGUCCGAGCGUUAUCCGGAAUCAUUGGGUUUAAAGGUCCGUAGGCGGUUUAAUAAGUCAGUGGUGAAAUCUGGUCGCUCAACGAUCAAACGGCCAUUGAUACUGUUAGACUUGAAUUAUAAGGAAGUAACUAGAAUAUGUAGUGUAGCGGUGAAAUGCUUAGAUAUUACAUGGAAUACCAAUUGCGAAGGCAGGUUACUACUUAUGGAUUGACGCUGAUGGACGAAAGCGUGGGGAGCGAACAGGAUUAGAUACCCUGGUAGUCCACGCCGUAAACGAUGGAUACUAGCUGUUCGAGCAAUCUGAUGGCUAAGCGAAAGUGAUAAGUAUCCACCUGGGGAGUAACGUUCGCAAGAAUUGAAACCUUNAAAUUGAGUUAGAGNGNGAGAGNGCGAGACGACGACGAGGAGGAGG